GCCGACAUAGCUUAGUGGCAAAGCACGUCAUUGGUAAUGACGCGACGCGAGUCCGAUUCUCGCUGUCGGCU
rfam:Microgenomates (Daviesbacteria) bacterium GW2011_GWB1_41_5 TT67_C0040, whole genome shotgun sequence.